UUAGGGAGGUUGGAGUGGAAACAA
rnacentral:misc_RNA from 1 species